rnacentral:rRNA from 1 species
UCAGAACGAACGCUGGCGGCAGGCCUAACACAUGCAAGUCGAGCGCGCCUUCGGGCGAGCGGCGGACGGGUUAGUAACGCGUGGGAACGUGCCCAGAUCUACGGAAUAGCCACUGGAAACGGUGAGUAAUACCGUAUACGCCCUUAGGGGGAAAGAUUUAUCGGAUUUGGAUCGGCCCGCGUUAGAUUAGGUAGUUGGUGGGGUAACGGCCUACCAAGCCUACGAUCUAUAGCUGGUUUUAGAGGAUGAUCAGCAACACUGGGACUGAGACACGGCCCAGACUCCUACGGGAGGCAGCAGUGGGGAAUCUUGGACAAUGGGGGCAACCCUGAUCCAGCCAUGCCGCGUGAGUGAAGAAGGCCCUAGGGUCGUAAAACUCUUUCGCCUGUGAUGAUAAUGACAGUAGCA